rnacentral:ncRNA from 1 species
AGAAAUUCGUAGACGAGAACGAGUAAACGUGAGUUCUGUUCCCCAGAGAGUUGGUAAACGCUGAGAGCCAAUGUUCAGACCCCGUUGAAAAUCCUCUCCGAGAAGGAAAGCUGAAGCUAGAUUUAGGUUUUCCCGGAAUUCCACCGUUAAGCGGAACGCGUAUGAUGGUACGUCGUAUGAGUGCCAGAAUAUUGCUCUCAAUGAGCGAAUUCUGGAAUCAGGGUGGUAACACGGGUAAAACUCGUCCCUAUU